CAGUAAUUGCAGAUACUGGACACCUGAUACCUGCAACUUGAAGAAGGAUGCAGGAAACCCUGAUGUGAAGCGUUCUCAGGAUGUAGAGGAGAGGUCCGGUCUCAUUCACCCUCCUGAACCUAUAUGGAGCAUUAGAGGAUUAGGAGCUGCAUUGGAGGGAUUUUUUUCUUCUUGUUUAGGAGAAUCUCUCAAUACCACACAGAGUCAUUAAAUUAAAAAAUGAACUGUUUUCAGUUCUGUAUAUUUUUUUAAAAAACAAAGCACAAAAGAACACAAUAAACUACGAUGUAAAGAGG